GUCUCGGCUUCCCCUCCCAUCGCCGCACCACUCAUCCGCUAGCUCCCCACGCAGGCGGAUUCGGAUGGAGGCGGCCGUCGCCGGCGGCGGCAGCGGGCUGGGUACCAUGAGCGCUGUGCUCGCCAUCUGACACCAUCCUCCAGUGGUGGGGAUUCAACAUCGCCGUCAUCAACAAGCGGGUAUUCUAGAUCUUGCCACACUGGGCAUCAGGACCGCUGGAUGCUUCUCUCACGGUGGUCAAGCCAAGCUC